GCUAAUUUGACAGAAAGGGACAACGCGGUACGGGGGUUAGUCAAGAUGGAACAGAUUUUCCUAUUUUUCUGCACCAUGUGGCUAGCUGUUGCUUCAGCAUGGGCACAGGAUUACUACAAUGCGUUAUCUUCCAAGGAUUUUGAAUCAUUUAAGAACGCUGUUGUGCCCUGUGCGGUUUAUUUUGUUUCAAAGUCUCCUGAAAAACUGAAAAAAGAUUGGCAAGUAAAGGAGUUCUUGACAAACUUUAUGGAUUCUGGGCGGUACCUGACAGACUUCAGUGUCAACUUUGCCACAGUUGAUUGUCAUUCUGAUCCUGUGCAGGAUUAUUGUUCCAGGGACAAUGCAAGGAGUACACUUUUUGUAUUCAGACAUGGCCACAUUCUCACUGAACUGCCGAUGGAUUCGUUGUACAGUGUUGAUUCCAUCAUUUCAAACAUGCUACAUCUGGUGCUGUUACGAGAAGUUCCCCUUAUACAGGAACCGGCAGAUCUAGCAUCUAUGCAGCAACGCCACAAAGGACACAAAGAUAUCCUGUUUGCAAAGAUGAUUGCCGUGGGCACAUCAGAGCACCGUGCAUUUAUGGAAGGAGCCUUUGCAUAUGGCCACCUGUAUAAGUUUGUCAUGACCACAAAUAUGGGCACCAACAUGCUAGGACCUGGGUCCGAGGAGGAGUGGGAGGAGCAGGAGAAUAGGGUGUGGCUACUCCAGUGUAAGCAGGCAUCCUCACUGGACUUGUGUCAUAGGUCAUUCUUCCGGGGCAAGAUGCGCGUGGCUGACUUUGCCUUGUACCUGAAGACUCUGGAUGUUCUUCCAUAUACUGAAUAUAAAGCCCCAGGUGGGACAGUCCUGUACCAACAACUGGGCAUCCCAACGGCUUACCUGUACAGCAAUGCUGCUGAUUAUAGGUAUCACAAGGAGAUGGUCCAGGACCUAUCCCAGACAUACCGUGGAAACCUUGGCUUUGUCCUUGUUAACAGUGAUGUGACUCCAGAGAGUGUUGUAGCUGACAUUGAACGCUGCCAGCCUCCAUGCCUCAUGUUACAACGAGCGCCUGAGGAGAACUUGAUUCAUAUGGAAGAUGAUCUGACUGUGGAGAAUGUAGCAGAGUUCAUUGAGGACAACAUGUACAUUAGAGAGAAUCCCUCUGAAAUUCAAGAAGAGUACGAUCCUGUCCCAGUCCAAGAAGUCCAGGAUGACGAGGUGCAGCAUGCUGUCUACAGUGACACCAGAAUCCUUGACAUGGCGCACGUCCCCAAGUUGACCGACAAAACCUUCCCAGAAUUCAUUUCUGACACAGGAUUGGUCAUUGUUCUCUUUACAGUGCGCUGGGAUCCACGAUGCAAGGCUUUCCUGGAAUCUUACUCCAAUGCCGCUCAUACCAUCCAGCAGGACAUCCCUGCCACCGACCGACCCCCUGUUGGGCCCCUUGCCCAGGUGGAGUGUUUCAACUGGCCUGAUGUCUGCCAACUGGGCAACGUAACAGCCUACCCAACCAUCCAGCUGUACAGAGAGGGGAAGUUGGUGACGGAUUACCGGGGAUCGCUGAGUGAGGCAGGCAUCCUGAAAGCCUACAGACUGCAUUCCACCGCCAAUCCUGUGGUGUUGGACUCCUGUCCUGAUUGCCAGGCCAUCAGUAAAGGGGAGCUGCCAAGCUGGGUCUCCUCCACGCUUCCUGCCGUUGUCAUUGGAUACUUCCCAGAUGCUAGUACCAAAGAGCGGUCAGAGUUUGAGCAUGCAGCCAAGAUGCUCCACGGUCAGCACCUGAUGGCAGUGUGCUUCAAGGACUGUACACAACACAGCUCUGACACUGAUGGCUCCAAGCCCAUGGUGACUGCCUUCAAGUGGGGAGACCACCACCAGCCAUUGGUACAGUACAGUGGAGACUACACCACAGACAGUCUGGUCCAGUUUGUGCAAACAGCCACCCUCCCGCUAGUGCCGGAGCUGAGUCCCAGCAACCUCCCCCUUCACUUUGCCAAGGGCAAGCCUUUCCUCAUACUCUUCAAGGACGUGGAUGACCAGUCCAGGGAGGCAGAGGCUUCCCUGGCUAGUCUGGCUCGAGAGAAGACCUUUGAAUCGACGCUCACCAUAGUGUGGAUAGACGUGUCCCAGCCUUCCUCCAUCGGCUCAAAGAUCUUGAAGGACUACGGCAUCAGGCGGCAGCUCCUGCAUCCCAGCAUGGUGUUUGUGGACCAUGCCACCAAUAGGGUAUGCAACUACCCUGCCGACUACAGCUUCAAGGCACCGGCCAUGGCCAACUGGAUCGUCAUUGUGCUGAAUGGGGAGACCUCAUGCUCAGGUUUGAUGGAAAGCAAGUUUGAGCCGCAGGUCAGCCCUUAUGACUUCCUGGCACUGAUUGAGAAAGACAAGAAGGAGGGUACCCAGAGGAUGGGCAGGCUGGCCACAGAGCAUCACCAUGAUGAUGAGGAAGGGGUGGAGACUGAGGAGGACAAGGAGGAGGUUGAACAAGGGCCUGGUCAGCAGUUUGUCUCUGGAGAGCACCGCCACACAGAACUUUAGGUUGGACGGGUCAAGUCGAGCGCAUUAAAGGGCCCUUGCUGUAGAUUUUUUGGUUGCACAUGAAUCUAUGCCAUGCAUCUGUGCUAGUGCAAUUUACUAUCACUUUGUUAAGUUUUAAUUGCCACUUAAAAGUUUUUUGUGAUCUUGUUAAUCUGUGUAGUUGAUGCUUUCACACAUGGCUAUGUUUAUUAAAACAUACAUGUACAUGAUAUCAGCUGUGAUAUGGGCUUUAAUCUUGUUACGGAACGCAAACAAAUAGCCAUAGUUUCAUCUCCAGUCAAGUGCUUCAUUCAGGGAAGUUUACAAAUCUCAGCUUGGACUUUGGUUUUGGCCUUAGGUUUGAUUUUUUUGAGUUUGGUCCCCUAAGUUGAGGUCUUUAAACUCAGUGCAGCUUAAGGUCUUUAACUGGUGGUUCUCAAGCUCAUGCUUAAAUCAAAGUCAGAGAUAAAAGAGAGAGAGAAAAGUGCUCUCGGGGUACGCAGUUUCACCGGUGGGUAAACUGUGUUUGCUUUAGAGAAUUUCAGAUCAUUACGAGUGUCUGCUUAAACAUUAUUGCUGUGGACCCCCCCCCUGGGCCUUGCAAGAUAUCCUCCAGCACAGAUGGAGAAGUAAAUUCAAUAAAAAUAACUCUUUCAUCUUUUCAAGUCAGAAGACAGUAUCCCAUCAUAUUUACAACAUCCAGUGUGAAAACGAUGUCGUGUCGGCAAUGAAAAUGGGCAGUUUUACACCGUGGCUGCAUUUCUCUGUCAAAAGGGAAAUUUAGCAGUUCCUGAGACCUUGACAAAGGAGUUGUCUUUUUUAAAGUUUUGAUGUGUGGAUGUCGUUAAGUACUCGGCAGAAUUUCUUGCCAUUUCAUGAAACAUUUUUAGAGUGUCAUGAUUUAGGAGCUAGAGAGUCGUCAAAGAUUUGUGGUAGAAUCCUCCAGAUCUAUUAACCUUGAUGAUGUUGUUUUGGGGGAUUUUGUGGGUUUCUUUUUUUGUUUUGCACGAGGGAUGUAAAUUAUAAUUCUUGGUUCAAUCUGAUUUGGUGGGGGCUGUCAUGGCCAUGAAACCUGCUUUUAUUUGAAGUUUGAAAUUUGGCAAAUCCUUGCAAACCUGAUGGUUAGCGGUAAGAUAUCUGUAGUAGUAAGGUAGGAGGUUCAACUCCCACCUAAAUGAGCAUGGUAGAUUACUACCAAGCUGUCACACUAGCAAGCUAGAGUUGAGAGGUUUAAGUCCUGUCCCACCUAAAUGAGCAUGGUAGAUUACUACCAAGCUGUCACACUAGCUAGCUAGAGUUGAGAGGUUUAAGUUCUGUCCCACCUGAAUGAGCAUGGUAGAUUACCACUAAGCCGUCACGCUAGCUAGAGUUGAGAGGUUUAAGUCCUGUCCCACCUAAAUGAGCAUGGUAGAUUACUACCAAGCUGUCACACUAGCUAGCUAGAGUUGAGAGGUUUAAGUCCUGUCCCACCUAAAUGAGCAUGGUAGAUUACUACCAAGCUGUCACACUAGGGUGAAAAGGUUCAAGUUUGAGCUGAGUGAGCACAAACGUCUACAAAAGGUUGACAAAAUUUCUGUGGAACUUUGCAGACUUGUAGAAGUUUGGCCAGUCUUACCGCAGCACAAUAAUUCGGAUUGAUGAUGUAGUUGGAUUGCAACAGUGCCAUCUCGGACAUGACUGUGAUGCUUUUCCAUGGGCAUUUCCCUGGGCCAGUCAGGUCCUUUUUUUAAAUCCUGGCCUAAUCUCUGUCUUCAGCUCGAUCUUUAGCCCCAAGAUCAGUAGACAACAUUUGAAGUUGUAAUGAAAAUACUCAAACCUCAGAGAACGGGAUAACCUUCAUUCUUUGUUAUGGUUGUUUGCUCUUCAAAGUGGGAACCCAAGUCCUUUUGUGUUGGACAUUAUGUGUAUUUGUUUGUUUUCUGUGUUUGCUAACUUUGCCAUUUUUAUGAUAUUUUGGGGUGGUUUAAGUGAUACUUAGUUCUUCUUUUAGUUUAUCAUUGGAGUAUUUAGAAAGUUGAAUUUGUCAAGUAAUCAAGUAAACAUUCCUGUCGGCUGAUAGCAUUCGUGGAAUUUUGUGAAAGUUGUAAUGAAGUGGUCAAAUGCUCCUUUAAACAAGUACAAAAUUACUGAUGUGAGAUAGUGUUGAUGUAUUUAUCCGUAAGAUUGGAAAAUGUCUUUCGAGAGUUGUCUUUCAACCGUACUAUAUUAUUCUUUUCAAAGCUAAAUAAGAUUCUUUUAUGCGAGUGCUUAAUACGGGUGAUUCCAAAUAGUGCACCACCGAGAGUUUCCAACGCGUUGGCCAAUCUCAAUGCGUGAAAUGUGUCGACCCUUCCAAAAGCGAAUUGCCAGUCAGUACCUCCAGAUGUGUCAACACAUUCAAAUGCACAUUGCGUACAGUAGCCACUGCGUUGUAGACUCUUGGAAGCGCACUAUUUGGAAUUGCCCUCACUAAAACCUCCAUUCUCUCAAUGUCUGAUUAGUGUUGAUGUCAUAUGCAUGUAUGUGCAUUUUCAAUGUCCAUGAAAAAGUUAUACAUAAAAAUCAAGUUGAAGAUGUGGACUUACAGCCAGCUCAUACUUCAGGCAAAAGCGGAGCAAAUUUGAUGUUGCAGUGUAUUUUGCAGCCAAAUUUGUUUCAGUUGAUAUGUGUUCAACUUUGGCGAUUUCGCAGCAUGAACAUUUUUAUCUCACCUCAUAAUUUCUCUUGUGUGUUUGCUUUCAUGUCAAGCAUGAACCAGUCUUCAGGAUUUGUAUCUUACUGGACUGUAUAUAUCUUCUGUGUGUAAGCCAUUUGGAAGGUGUGUGAACUUGUUCCAAAGAGAUAAACAUUAGUGGAUGUGGACCUUCGAUGGCAUUCACUGAAUUGAAAAAUAACAUUAAUCAUGGCUGUUUUUUCUGCCAGGUGACCGUUGGUUAAUGCACACGAAGGUGUAAAUGCUCAUUUAGAAUGUUUUUUCUACAUGUCAAAGCUCAUUUAUUGAUUGUACAUCUAGGGCUUUGGUGUAUUGGCUUUGUUAGUGCGUUGCUUUGAAAUACAGACACAGUUAUGCAAAAGCCACACAAAAGCCGAACAAGAUUUAGCCGAAGAAAAGAGGUAAUCGGCUGCAGGCUUCACUUUGCACUGUGAGUUUGUAGUCCAGUUAUUCUACAUACCUGGAGGGAAUGCAAAACCUGUACGGUGGAAACAAACGAUAAAGCAUUGAAUAAAGUGUUACAAAAACACUCCCCAACCAAGAGUCAUCUCACUGGACAAAAUUCUAUUUGCACAGAGUAAAUUUCAGAAUGUGUACACUCAUAGUACAACCGCAAAUAUUUGAAUAUUGAAAUACAGAUUACACAAUUAACAGUAUUUACUUUUAAUUUGUAUAUUUUGGCUGAAACACUUGUAUUUCCUGCCACAAUGUGGCUAGGUGUAUUUUAUAUUCAUUGUCACUUUUAAAGCUGUUCGGAAUAGUCAACUAGACUUGUUCAGUGCUGGACCUGUACGAGCAUGUGGUCAUUCAGAGAUUAUAGUCAACUCAUGAUUAAUCGCAGUCCUUGAUUGAACAACUCCACGUUGUAUUACGACUGUUGCCAUCUUCCUGCCAGACUUGAACUUGUUUAUUUUUUUUAUCUUGUCAAAUUGUUAUCCGAGAUCAUGAAACGUGAAUCUUAUUUAUUAAAAGAGUAAUGUUCAUACAAGUAUGGUACAUUAAAUGUUUCAAUCAGCACA
rnacentral:misc_RNA from 1 species